GCUGUCCCCCGGGGAGGGGGGCUCCAGGGUUCCCCGGCGUCGCGGUCCCCAAGAUCCCGAGCCCCACGCGAGCCGCCGGCUCCUCCACCGCGCGGCCCAGUGCCCUCCUCUUGGCCCUCGGGCCCCGCGAGCCGGGACGCUGCCUUUCCACUAGCAGACGGACCCAUGCGGACCCCAGCCCGUGCCCCAGCCUCCCCGCCUGUCACAUGCCCAGAAUCCUGGGGCAGAAAUAGGCCUGCCCACCCAUCUGCAAAGACAGCAGAAUCCUCAUCAAUAAGGAUCCCCAGAGUGGUCCCUUAGUGCUUAGCAUGGGCUGCAUCCCUCCCUCCACCAGUGUCCUCAACCAGCCUCUGUCCCUUUCCAGAUUCUGACCUCAAAAUCAGCUUGAAGGGGAGAGGACAGGGAAAUUCUUUUCCUGGAUGGGUCUGUCCCUGUUCUAAUGCUAGGAAAUGGAAAGCCAGCAUCAAUGCCUUCUUUACCACCCUGCACUCAAAGGUGGAAGCAAAAACGCCAACUCAGAAAAGCCAGUCGCUGCUGCUGUCAGGAGCCUGAAAUCCACCUCAACAGUGGGCCGCUGCUCAAGUCCCUAUCACCAUUGCAGUACCAGGUCCCACCACCCUAUCACCAUUCCUCUCAUGGAGUCUCAAACCAGGGAGGGGAAAUAAUAUCUAAGAGGAGUGGAGGAGCAGAAUCCUUCCCCAAACCUGCGGACUCCUGGAAUGGAGAAAGGGAAGGCCCUGGCGUUUCAGGAGAUGCCUGGGGAGUCGUGUUUCCUGUGUUAGGGAGACCUGGAUGACAUGCCUCAGCUUCUGCUCGCAAGCCCCCUCCCAUGACCUCUCCAACAGCCUGUAGGGAAAUCCCUUGCAAAUAAAUAGUAUACAGACUAAGCAACCAACUACUGUGUGGAAUGGUGAACAGGGAGGGCAGUGAAUCACCAGGUACUAUGGGAAGACUAGAGCUAGGCCAGACUCUGGAAAGAAUUUGUUGACAGUCAUUGGAGGAAGUUCAUACUGAGAUCGUAUCGUAUAGUUCUUUAAUAAAACAAACAAACAAAAACAAACAAACUAGACUGGAACCUUCCUAUAAGUGCAAGGCUUUCUGGAGACUGAUGGCAGACAGUCUAAAUUAAUAUCAACAGGUUCAUGAUGACAUGGAGAAAUGAGAUAUGGAAGGG
rnacentral:lncRNA from 10 species